rnacentral:rRNA from 1 species
AACGAACGCUGGCGGCAGGCUUAACACAUGCAAGUCGAACGGAUCCUUCGGGAUUAGUGGCAGACGGGUGAGUAACGCGUGGGAACGUACCCUUUGCUACGGAAUAACUCAGGGAAACUUGAGCUAAUACCAUAUGUGCCCUACGGGGGAAAGAUUUAUCGGCAAAGGAUCGGCCCGCGUUGGAUUAGCUAGUUGGUGGGGUAAUGGCCUACCAAGGCCACGAUCCAUAGCUGGUCUGAGAGGAUGAUCAGCCACACUGGGACUGAGACACGGCCCAGACUCCUACGGGAGGCAGCAGUGGGGAAUAUUGGACAAUGGGCGCAAGCCUGAUCCAGCCAUGCCGCGUGAGUGAUGAAGGUCUUAGGAUUGUAAAGCUCUUUCACCGGUGAAGAUAAUGACGGUAGCCGGAGAAGAAGCCCCGGCUAACUUCGUG